CAGGGAUUGCCUUAGUAACGGCGAGUGAAGCGGCAAUAGCUCAAAUUUGAAAUCUGGCGCUUGCGUCCGAGUUGUAAUUUGUAGAGGAUGAUUUUGGUUAGGUACCUUUCGAGUUCCUUGGAACAGGACGCCUUAGAGGGUGAGAGCCCCGUACGAUUGGAUGCCGAGCCUUUGUAAAUCUCCUUCGACGAGUCGAGUAGUUUGGGAAUGCUGCUCUAAAUGGGAGGUAAAUUUCUUCUAAAGCUAAAUACCGGCCAGAGACCGAUAGCGCACAAGUAGAGUGAUCGAAAGAUGAAAAGCACUUUGAAAAGAGGGUUAAAUAGCACGUGAAAUUGUUGAAAGGGAAGGAUUUAUGACCAGACUUUUUCUGGGAGAAUCAUCCGGUGUUCUCACCGGUGCACUUCUUUUAGUUUAGGCCAGCAUCGACUUUCGGCGGCGGAUAAAAGCUUCAGGAAUGUGGCUCCCCUAGGGGAGUGUUAUAGCCUGUUGUAUAAUACGCUGCUGGGGGUCGAGGUACGCGCUUCUGCAAGGAUGCUGGCGUAAUGGUUAUCAAUCACCCGUCUUGAAACACGGACCAAGGAGUCGAACAUUUGUGCAAGUGUUUGGGUGUUAAACCCUCACGCGUAAUGAAAGUGAACGGAGGUGAGAGCCCUUACGGGUGCAUCAUCGACCGAUCCUGAUGUUUUCGGAUGGAUUUGAGUAAGAGCAUAACUGUUCGGACCCGAAAGAUGGUGAACUAUGCGUGGAUAGGGUGAAGCCAGAGGAAACUCUGGUGGAGGCUCGCAGCGGUUCUGACGUGCAAAUCGAUCGUCAAAUCUGCGCAUGGGG
rnacentral:rRNA from 1 species